rnacentral:rRNA from 1 species
AGAGUUUGAUCCUGGUCAGGAUGAACGCUAGCGGGAGGCUUAACACAUGCAAGUCGAGGGGCAUCACGGGUAGCAAUACCUGGUGGCGACCGGCAGACGGGUGAGUAACGCGUAUGUAACCUACCCUGUACAGGGGGAUAACCCGGAGAAAUUCGGACUAAUAUCCCAUGGAAAUAUUGAGAGGCAUCUUUUGAUAUUUAAAGUUCCGGCGGUACGGGAUGGGCAUGCGUAACAUUAGCUAGUUGGUAAGGUAACGGCUUACCAAGGCUUUGAUGUUUAGGGGUCCUGAGAGGGUGGUCCCCCACACUGGUACUGAGACACGGACCAGACUCCUACGGGAGGCAGCAGUGAGGAAUAUUGGUCAAUGGGCGCAAGCCUGAACCAGCCAUCCCGCGUGCAGGAAGACGGCCCUAUGGGUUGUAAACUGCUUUUCCAGGGGGAGAAACUUGCGCACGUGUUGCGCAAUUGACGGUACCCUGGGAAUAAGCAUCGGCUAACUCCGUGCCAGCAGCCGCGGUAAUACGGAGGAUGCGAGCGUUAUCCGGAUUCAUUGGGUUUAAAGGGUGCGUAGGCGGACUAUUAAGUCAGUGGUGAAAUCCUGCAGCUUAACUGCAGAACUGCCAUUGAUACUGAUAGUCUUGAGUUUGGUUAAGGUAGGCGGAAUGUGUAAUGUAGCGGUGAAAUGCUUAGAUAUUACACAGAACACCAAUUGCGUAGGCAGCUUACUGGACCGACACUGACGCUGAGGCACGAAAGCGUGGGGAUCGAACAGGAUUAGAUACCCUGGUAGUCCACGCCGUAAACGAUGAUUACUCGCUGUUGGCGAUACACUGUCAGCGGCUAAGCAAAAGCAAUAAGUAAUCCACCUGGGGAGUACGGCCGCAAGGUUGAAACUCAAAGGAAUUGACGG